GGGGGCGAAUUGGAUUCGACGGGAAUGGAUCGGGGUGGGGAGGCGUGCCGGGUUCCGAGCUCCCGUAAAACGAUCGGAAAACCAAAACUGCCAAUCCGCAGUUUGCAUACGCUGCUUAACUAGCUUGAGCAGCCGCUCCCGCUGGCCGCGCCCGCAGGCCAGUGACGGGCGUCAUCUCGCGGGCUGGGCCGAGGGCUUCUGUCCGUAGCCGCAGGCCGAGAUCAAUCGGGCUAGGUUGCCGCCGCUCUUGCCGGCUCUCGAGGCGAUGACCGAAAAUUUGGAACCGGCUACGCACGUAGGCUCUUUACAGCGAACGCUCUCGGACGCGGGUUCAACUCCCGCCGCCUCCACCA
rnacentral:tmRNA from 1 species